CCAUCCCAGUUCGGAUUGCAGGCUGCAACCCGCCUGUAUGAAGUUGGAAUCGCUAGUAAUCGCGGAUCAGCAUGCCGCGGUGAAUACGUUCCCGGGCCUUGUACACACCGCCCGUCACACCAUGAGAGUUGAGAAUACCCGAAGCCCAUGUCAAAGUGGUCGAAGGUAGGCUUGAUGAUUGGGGUGAAGUCGUAACAAGGUACC
rnacentral:rRNA from 1 species